CGCAACGUGAAACUCAAGGAAUUGACGGGGCCCGCACAAGCGGAGACAUGUGUUUAUUCGAUGAUACGCGAGAACCUACCCGGGCUUGAACUGCAGGAGAAGGAUACAGAGAUGUUGACGUCCUUCGGACUCCUGUGGAGUGCUGCAUGUUGUCGUCAGCUCGUGCCGUGAGUGUCGGCUUAAGUGCCAUAACGAGCGCAACCCUUUUCGCCAGUUGCCAUCAGGUGAUGCUGGCACUCUGGGAUACUGCCACCGUAAGGUGUGAGGAAGGUGGGGAUGACGUCAAAUCAGCACGGCCCUUACGUCCGGGGCUACACACGUGUUACAAUGGGGAGUACAGAGGGCAGGCGUCGGGCGACCGUCGUCGAAUCCUCAAAACGCGUCUCAGUUCGGACCGGGGACUGCAACCCGACCCCGCGAAGCUGGAUUCGCUAGUAAUCGCGCAUCAGCCAUGGCGCGGUGAAUACGUUCCCGGGCCUUGUACACACCGCCCGUCAAGCCAUGAAAGCCGGGGGCGCUUGAAGUCCGUGACCGCAAGGAUCGGCCUAGAGCGAAACUGGUAAUUGGGGCU
rnacentral:rRNA from 1 species